rnacentral:rRNA from 9 species
AAGGUCUCCGUAGGUGAACCUGCGGAGGGAUCAUU